rnacentral:piRNA from 1 species
UUACAGGAUGCAGGUGGUCUGAUGAUCUCAUA